GAUGAACGCUGGCGGCGUGCUUAACACAUGCAAGUCGAACGGUGAACGAGGGAGCUUGCUCCCUCCGGAUCAGUGGCGAACGGGUGAGUAACACGUGAGCAAUCUGCCCUGGACUCUGGGAUAAGCGUUGGAAACGACGUCUAAUACCGGAUACGAGGCGUGGGGGCAUCCCCAACGCCUGGAAAGAACUUCGGUCCAGGAUGAGCUCGCGGCCUAUCAGGUAGUUGGUGAGGUAAUGGCUCACCAAGCCUACGACGGGUAGCCGGCCUGAGAGGGUGACCGGCCACACUGGGACUGAGACACGGCCCAGACUCCUACGGGAGGCAGCAGUGGGGAAUAUUGCACAAUGGGCGCAAGCCUGAUGCAGCAACGCCGCGUGAGGGACGACGGCCUUCGGGUUGUAAACCUCUUUUAGCAGGGAAGAAGCGAAAGUGACGGUACCUGCAGAAAAAGCACCGGCUAACUACGUGCCAGCCGCCGCAGUAACAC
rnacentral:rRNA from 1 species